rnacentral:rRNA from 1 species
GGGCGCACGGUGGAUGCCUUGRCACUAGGAGUCGAUGAASGACGGGACUAACGCCGAUAUGCUUCSGGGAGCUGUAAGUAAGCUUUGAUCCGAAGAUUUCCGAAUGGGGAAACCCACCAUACGUAAUGGUAUGGUAUCCUUAUCUGAAUACAUAGGGUAAGGAAGACAGACCCAGGGAACUGAAACAUCUAAGUACCUGGAGGAAGAGAAAGCAAAUGCGAUUUCCUGAGUAGCGGCGAGCGAAACGGAACAUAGCCCAAACCAAGAGGCUUGCCUCUUGGGGUUGUAGGACAUUCUAUACGGAGUUACAAAGGAACGAGGUAGACGAAGCGACCUGGAAAGGUCCGUCGUAGAGGGUAACAACCCCGUAGUCGAAACUUCGUUCUCUCUUGAAUGUAUCCUGAGUACGGCGGAACACGUGAAAUUCCGUCGGAAUCUGGGAGGACCAUCUCCCAAGGCUAAAUACUCCCUAGUGAUCGAUAGUGAACCAGUACCGUGAGGGAAAGGUGAAAAGCACCCCGGAAGGGGAGUGAAAGAGAUCCUGAAACCGUGUGCCUACAAAUAGUCAGAGCCCGUUAACGGGUGAUGGCGUGCCUUUUGUAGAAUGAACCGGCGAGUUACGAUCCCGUGCGAGGUUAAGCUGAAGAGGCGGAGCCGCAGCGAAAGCGAGUCUGAAUAGGGCGUUUAGUACGUGGUCGUAGACCCGAAACCAGGUGAUCUACCCAUGUCCAGGGUGAAGUUCAGGUAACACUGAAUGGAGGCCCGAACCCACGCACGUUGAAAAGUGCGGGGAUGAGGUGUGGGUAGCGGAGAAAUUCCAAUCGAACCUGGAGAUAGCUGGUUCUCCCCGAAAUAGCUUUAGGGCUAGCCUUAAGUGUAAGAGUCUUGGAGGUAGAGCACUGAUUGGACUAGGGGUCCUCAUCGGAUUACCGAAUUCAGUCAAACUCCGAAUGCCAAUGACUUAUCCUUAGGAGUCAGACUGCGAGUGAUAAGAUCCGUAGUCAAAAGGGAAACAGCCCAGACCGCCAGCUAAGGUCCCAAAGUGUGUAUUAAGUGGAAAAGGAUGUGGAGUUGCUUAGACAACUAGGAUGUUGGCUUAGAAGCAGCCACCAUUUAAAGAGUGCGUAAUAGCUCACUAGUCGAGUGACUCUGCGCCGAAAAUGUACCGGGGCUAAAUACACCACCGAAGCUGCGGAUUGAUACCGAAUGGUAUCAGUGGUAGGGGAGCGUUCUAAGGACAGUGAAGUCAGACCGGAAGGACUGGUGGAGUGCUUAGAAGUGAGAAUGCCGGUAUGAGUAGCGAAAGACGGGUGAGAAUCCCGUCCACCGAAUGCCUAAGGUUUCCUGAGGAAGGCUCGUCCGCUCAGGGUUAGUCAGGACCUAAGCCGAGGCCGACAGGCGUAGGCGAUGGACAACAGGUUGAUAUUCCUGUACCACCUCUUUAUCGUUUGAGCAAUGGAGGGACGCAGAAGGAUAGAAGAAGCGUGCGAUUGGUUGUGCACGUCCAAGCAGUUAGGCUGAUAAGUAGGCAAAUCCGCUUAUCGUAAAGGCUGAGCUGUGAUGGGGAAGCUCCUUAUGGAGCGAAGUCUUUGAUUCCCCGCUGCCAAGAAAAGCUUCUAGCGAGAUAAAAGGUGCCUGUACCGCAAACCGACACAGGUAGGCGAGGAGAGAAUCCUAAGGUGUGCGAGAGAACUCUGGUUAAGGAACUCGGCAAAAUGACCCCGUAACUUCGGGAGAAGGGGUGCUUUCUUAACGGAAAGCCGCAGUGAAUAGGCCCAAGCGACUGUUUAGCAAAAACACAGCUCUCUGCGAAGCCGUAAGGCGAAGUAUAGGGGGUGACACCUGCCCGGUGCUGGAAGGUUAAGGAGAGGGGUUAGCGUAAGCGAAGCUCUGAACUGAAGCCCCAGUAAACGGCGGCCGUAACUAUAACGGUCCUAAGGUAGCGAAAUUCCUUGUCGGGUAAGUUCCGACCCGCACGAAAGGUGUAACGAUUUGGGCACUGUCUCAACCAGAGACUCGGUGAAAUUAUAGUACCUGUGAAGAUGCAGGUUACCCGCGACAGGACGGAAAGACCCCGUGGAGCUUUACUGUAGCCUGAUAUUGAAUUUUGGUACAGUUUGUACAGGAUAGGCGGGAGCCUUUGAAACCGGAGCGCUAGCUUCGGUGGAGGCGCUGGUGGGAUACCGCCCUGACUGUAUUGAAAUUCUAACCUACGGGUCUUAUCGACCCGGGAGACAGUGUCAGGUGGGCAGUUUGACUGGGGCGGUCGCCUCCUAAAGUGUAACGGAGGCGCCCAAAGGUUCCCUCAGAAUGGUUGGAAAUCAUUCGUAGAGUGCAAAGGCAUAAGGGAGCUUGACUGCGAGACCUACAAGUCGAGCAGGGACGAAAGUCGGGCUUAGUGAUCCGGUGGUUCCGCAUGGAAGGGCCAUCGCUCAACGGAUAAAAGCUACCCCGGGGAUAACAGGCUUAUCUCCCCCAAGAGUCCACAUCGACGGGGAGGUUUGGCACCUCGAUGUCGGCUCAUCGCAUCCUGGGGCUGUAGUCGGUCCCAAGGGUUGGGCUGUUCGCCCAUUAAAGCGGUACGCGAGCUGGGUUCAGAACGUCGUGAGACAGUUCGGUCCCUAUCCGUCGUGGGCGUAGGAAAUUUGAGAGGAGCUGUCCUUAGUACGAGAGGACCGGGAUGGACGCACCGCUGGUGUACCAGUUGUUCUGCCAAGGGCAUAGCUGGGUAGCUAUGUGCGGAAGGGAUAAGUGCUGAAAGCAUCUAAGCAUGAAGCCCCCCUCAAGAUGAGAUUUCCCAUAGCGUAAGCUAGUAAGAUCCCUGAAAGAUGAUCAGGUUGAUAGGUUCGAGGUGGAAGCAUGGUGACAUGUGGAGCUGACGAAUACUAAUAGAUCGAGGACUUAACCAU